AAGUUUUUACUGUAGUUCGUGCAAUUUUCCAGCUUGCAGAAGAAAUUCCUUGCAUCUCUGCAGUUGUGGUUGCUCUACUUGCUGAGGUAUAUUCUUGACCGUGCAUGUCGAUUUACUUCUGUUAGCUUUGGGGAUUGAAUCGAAUAGAUACAUAGUCUUUGAGUAACCAAUGGAGACUCUGCAAAAUGUUAUCGGGUGAGAGAGAUCUUGAAUGCUGUGGAGAGGGCCCUGUCGAAUCUAAUUUGAUGAGAAGGUAGCUUAGAGGUCAAUGGAUCAAAAUUCGCCAACAAGGUUAAUAUAUCUAUUCUAGGUCAAAGAUAUCAAGACGGAGCAAGACUCUGGUUAAGUUUACAAUGAUUUUUCUUGGUCUAGAUUUUCAUGGUUAUUUGCAGUGGUCACCUAAGAAGCACGGAUACUGAUACGUAAUUCGUGUUCGAUACGAUACGGAUACGUCGAUAUGACUUUUUUGAAAAACUUAGGAUAUGCAGAUACAUGUUAUAAAAUUCAACAUAAAUUUAUUAAUAUUAAAAAACAUUAAUACAGAAGCAUGAUAAUGAAAAUAAAUAAAAUACUAAAACACUUUAUCUUAAUCAUUAAUUGUAGAAACUUCACUUCCUUCAACAUCAACAACAAUUUCUUCAUUAUUAUUAAAAAUAACAAUCUUCAACUCUGGCUAAUCUAAUGAUAGAUUAGCAAUCUCAAGCAGUCUAACACCUUCAAGAAUAUCAAAAGAGUUUCCAACAAUGUCCCACAUUUUGGAUUCUUCUUUUGAAUAAAGAUCUAAUUUUAUUUUAUUUUAUUAUUAUUAUUUUUUUUAAUAAAAGACGCAAAUUGCUAUGAAUGAAAAUCAAUUCUUCAACUUGUUGUAAAGUUAUUUUAUUCCUUCUUGUAAAGUGUACAAAAGACUACGGCACUAGAUGAAGAAGAGGUUGUACAAGAAGUUUCAAAGCAGUAUUUUGUAGUGAAGGUGCAUGCUAGUCAUGAAGUAUCGGAUACGUAUCAAAAAUCAUUCAAAAAAUAUAAAAUAAUUAAAAAAUACAUAUGGGAUACGUAUCCUAUACGUAAAGAAUAUAAAAAUAUAUAAAAUAAUUAAAAAAAAAGUAUCCGGUACGUAUCGAAGGGUAUUGGAGAGUAACGGAGAAUAUCGACGUAUCGGAUACGGGUACGUAAUAAGUUUACAAGUAUCGGUGCUUCUUAGGUGGUCACUGACUAAAUGCUCAUUGGUUAAAAACUGAUCAAUGUCUAAGGAUGAUAUAUUGAAUGACAGGAGACAACGCCGAGAGAGCUACAAAAUAGUGUUGAUGAUUUAUGAUGAAGUGUACCGAUAUGUCUUGUCUAUGUUUGUAGAUAUGAUUUUUUAGUUAUAACCACUACAUGUCAGUUUGAACUUCUUAAUCAAAAGAAGGUUGACGAAAAUGCUUUGUCACUGGCUAUUGCUUGUUCAUCAUCCAGUUAAAACUUUUGAAGUGGAGUAUCUAGUCAUAUUUACUUGGAGUUGUAUAUUCUGUCAGUUCCCCAAUAUGAAGUGUUAAUUUCUAGCUUUUGACUACUAUUGGAGGGUGACAUAAUAUAUGUACGUUUGAACCCCAUUAUUUCAUAUUAUAAUGAGAAGAAUAGUAAUUUUUUG
rnacentral:lncRNA from 1 species